UUGUUUCCCUCGUUUAUUCUUUUAAUUUAUUAUUAGGAUUUUCUUCUUGAAGCAGUUCAAUAAGUAGAUUCAUGGCUUGUGAUUUAAUUUCUUUAUCGUGAAUUGAAUUUCUGGGUGUAAAGGAAAUUAAUGGCAUAUAUCACUAAAUUAGGGUUUAUAAGGUGUGAGUAAUUAGGAUGAUGGAGAACAAUUCAAGCAUCAUUAUCUCCGCUACGAAGCAUCAUUAUCUCCGCUACGAAGCAUCAUCAUCUCCGUUACACCCAUUUUAUUUACGUGUUGAUGUUUCACCGCCCAACAUUAUGUGUACAGCUGACCUAAUACGAUGCAGAUUGGGGAAAAUAGUUAUUCGGUUGUUCUCGCACGGGUUUAUAAGGUGUGAGUAAUUAGGAUGAUGGAGAACAAUUCAGUGUAUGGAAGUGACGAAGAGGCUGAUGAAAAGGCUGAAGUCGGCAGUGAUGAAGAACUAAGUGAUGAUGGCGACAAACUGUUGUAUGAAGAGGUAUGAGUUGGUUUUGUUAGAAAUUUUUCUUAGCUUACAUUUGAACCCUAAGAGGCCUGAACAAUAAUUUUGUGAUUUGCAGUUGAUUUUAGGAAUUGAUUGAUGAGUUUGGUUUGCAUGCAUAGACUGAAGUUACUGUUUUUGUUUAUGCCGAUGAGGGAAAUCGACCGAAGUUCAAAUUGUAACAAUGUGAUUAUUUUGGUUGUGACAGUGAUGAAGUCCAUACUCCGGCAGUCUAUGUAAUGGUCUGUCACAACUAGUUACAUGAUCAUCAAUAACACUGUUAUUUCUAACUAGAUGGUGUUUGUGCUCGUGAAAUUUUCUUGCAACAAGUCAGCAUAUUAUCAAUGAUUCUUAGAAAGGGUUUUGGUUUUUUUAGUUUGUCGAGUUAAGAGGCUGGAGCAAGUGUGAUGGUCAUUGAGGUUUGAAAUACAGAAUACAGAUUUGGGGCAAGAGUGGAGCAUCCUUGUCAGUUGUCCCACGGUCGAAGGGAUGUUGAAGAAUACAUCGAUAGAGAGGUAUGUUUGGUACCGCAUCUGGGAAUGUGGAAUGGGAUUUUUCUGGUUUGAUUUCAACUUUUGAGUGGCUUUCUUUCUGCAGUAUUGUUAUUGUUUGAUAACUGAUAAACAAUCAUCAGCGGUGGGUGGAGCACUUGAAAGCCCCCCACCCCGCCCUCCCCACACAGAGGCUGGAAAAAGAAAGGGCUCUCAACACAACCUUCUCUCUCUCUUUCUCGUAUGGCCAAGCUGCGCUCCCCGAUCGUUACUGCAGCUAUAUGCAAAGGUAUAACUUUAUCUACUGAAACCUGAACCUACAUGUUAAGUCCUAUCUCUGUCAUCUAGUACACGUGGUCUCUUUCUUUCUUAUUUAUCUUUGUAAUUGACUUUUCUUGCAUUGCUAGUUGAAUAACAUUGACAAAGUGUCUAGUAUGUUUAUAAGAGCUCAAUAAAAGAAGAACAAAGAGCUGAGAGCACAAUGGAUUUGCAAAAGGAGAAUGAAGAUGUUAUCGCACAAUUGAAGGUCUUUUGGCUGCAAGUCAGGGGUAGACGAAUAGCUCAGGGUAGACUUUUUUUGUUAGCACCUCAAUGUCUAGAGGUGUUGAAUUGUUAUUAAGUUGAAAUGAGAGACCAUGAGUGUAUCCUACUGAAACUUUUUAGUUUUGUGGAUGUUCAUGUUAGAUUAUUUGAGACGUCACAUGGUGUAUGUUUUCGACUUAUGUGAUUAAAUUCUUGAUUAAUUAAAAUGUGAUUUACUGAAGUAUUA